CCCCACCUCUAAGAAAAAGCAAGCAGCCUAGGAGUCCGAACCCCAGCAGCCCUGUGGGUGUGGGAACAGGGUGGUCCUCUCUGAGGCAGGAGGGCCCAGUGCCAAUGUGUAGGUGGCUCUGUGGGACCCUCCGUGGCUGAGUGAGGCUCAGGCCCAGGCUGUACCCCCAGCGUGAGCUGCCUGGGGAGGACACAGCCGACCUCCAACACAGACAGCAGCUGGCGAUUCCACACCGUGGAGCACAAAAGCCAGUCGAGGCUGCUAGAGAUGCUCUGAGACAUUUUAUUUAAACUUUUUUUUUUAAAAAAAAGACAGCAAUAAUUAAUGCCAAGAACAGAAAAGAAUGUUGACGUGUUGCCCGGCCCGCCAAGCGGGCCCCUGCCCAGGCCCCCAAGCUCUGCCACCACUGGGGUGCCGUCCCCUCCCGCAGCGGGGCACAGUCAGCUUUGAAGGUGACAGCGGGCCAAGGCCAGGACUCUGGGUGGAGGAGGCCCCUUCUCUGCCGGCCCCGCCUCUGCUGGGAGCAGCCACAGCCUGUGGCUGGGGUGCUGGGAUUUCUUCCUGGUCAUCAAAGAGAAACGUACAAACCUCAAGGACCCAGACACACAGUGGGUGGCCAGGGCAGACCCCACAGCAGACCCCAUGGCUCGCCUGAGCUCUGGCAGCUGCCCCACUGCUCCUUCCAUCCUUGCCCCAAUCCCCCAAUGCUUGUUUUGAUUGUUUUCUUAAAAAAUAUAAUUUUGUAAAUGUUCCAUAAAAAUACUAUUAUUCCUAGUCAAACACAGAUAUUGCAAUAUGAAGAGUAACUGCUCUGUCUUUGCUCUAUAAAACGUGAAAAGAUUAUCACACUGGAUAAUAUAGAAAAGAUGCCAGGGUUCCUAAGUAUCACAAAAGCCAGUACCAAAUGCGCAAGGUGGAAGUGGGGCCGGGGCAGGGUCGGGCUGGGCCGCCUGCUCGGCCAGAAGCACCGAAGAACCC
rnacentral:lncRNA from 10 species